GACGAACGCUGGCGGCGUGCUUAACACAUGCAAGUCGAGCGGUAAGGCCCUUUCGGGGGUACACGAGCGGCGAACGGGUGAGUAACACGUGGGUGACCUGCCCUCAGCUCUGGGAUAAGCCCGGGAAACUGGGUCUAAUACUGGAUAUGACUCCAUGACGCAUGUUGUGGGGUGGAAAGCCUUGUGCGGCUGAGGAUGGGCCCGCGGCCUAUCAGCUUGUUGGUGGGGNGAUGGCCUACCAAGGCGACGACGGGUAGCCGGCCUGAGAGGGCGACCGGCCACACUGGGACUGAGACACGGCCCAGACUCCUACGGGAGGCAGCAGUGGGGAAUCUUGCGCAAUGCGCGAAAGCGUGACGCAGCAACGCCGCGUGGGGAAGACGGCCU
rnacentral:rRNA from 1 species